UACAGAGGUCUCAAGCGUUGUUCGGAUUCAUUGGGCGUAAAGGGUGCGUAGGCGGCGCGGUAAGUCGGGUGUGAAAUCUCGGGGCUUAACUCCGAAACUGCAUUCGAUACUGCCGUGCUUGAGGACUGGAGAGGAGACUGGAAUUUACGGUGUGGCGGUGAAAUGCGUAGAGAUCAGCAGGAAUACCCGUGGCGAAGGCGGCCCCCUGGGCCGACCCUGACGCUGAGGCGCGAAGGCUAGGGGAGCGAACGGG
rnacentral:rRNA from 1 species